UACGAAGGGGGGCUAGCGUUGUUCGGAAUUACUGGGCGUAAAGGGCGCGUAGGCGGUGUGUCAAGUCAGGCGUGAAAGCCCCGGGCUCAACCUGGGAACAGCGCUUGAGACUGGCACGCUCGAGUUCGGGAGAGGAUGGUGGAAUUCCCAGUGUAGAGGUGAAAUUCGUAGAUAUUGGGAAGAACACCGAUGGCGAAAGGCAGCCAUCUGGACCGACACUGACGCUGAGGCGCGAAAGCGUGGGGAGCAAACAGG
rnacentral:rRNA from 1 species